GCGGAGGUAGCCCAGCUGGCCCACGGCGCCGGUCUUGAAAACCGGUGGUGAAUCACCUCGGGAGUUCAAAUCUCCCUCUCCGCG
rnacentral:tRNA from 1 species